AUUGAACGCUGGCGGAAUGCUUUACACAUGCAAGUCGAACGGCAGCACGGGGCAACCUGGUGGCGAGUGGCGAACGGGUGAGUAAUACAUCGGAACGUGCCCAAUCGUGGGGGAUAACGUAGCGAAAGCUACGCUAAUACCGCAUACGAUCUACGGAUGAAAGCGGGGGAUCGCAAGACCUCGCGCGAAUGGAGCGGCCGAUGGCAGAUUAGGUAGUUGGUGGGGUAAAGGCUCACCAAGCCUGCGAUCUGUAGCUGGUCUGAGAGGACGACCAGCCACACUGGAACUGAGACACGGUCCAGACUCCUACGGGAGGCAGCAGUGGGGAAUAUUGGACAAUGGGCGCAAGCCUGAUCCAGCAAUGCCGCGUGUGUGAAGAAGGCCUGCGGGUUGUAAAGCACUUUUACAGUGGGGAAGAACGGAUACGGGCCAAUACCCCGCAUCACUGACGUUACCCACAGAAGAAGCACCGGCUAACUCCGUGCCAGCAGCCG
rnacentral:rRNA from 1 species